ACGGGAGGCAGCAGUGGGGAAUCUUCCGCAAUGGGCGAAAGCCUGACGGAGCAACGCCGCGUGAGUGAAGAAGGCCUUCGGGUCGUAAAGCUCUGUCUUGAGGGAAGAACAACAGUGAUGUGAAUAAUGUCAUUGUCUGACGGUACCUCAGGAGGAAGCUCCGGCUAACUACGUGCCAGCAGCCGCGGUAAUACGUAGGGAGCGAGCGUUGUCCGGAAUUACUGGGCGUAAAGGGCGUGUAGGCGGAGAUUUAAGCAGGGGGUGAAAACUAUGGGCUCAACCCAUAGCCUGCCUCCUGAACUGGAUCCCUUGAGGGCAGGAGAGGAAAGUGGAAUUCCUAGUGUAGCGGUGAAAUGCGUAGAUAUUAGGAGGAACACCAGUGGCGAAGGCGACUUUCUGGACUGUACCUGACGCUGAGGCGCGAAAGCGUGGGGAGCAAACAGGAUUAGAUACCCUGGUA
rnacentral:rRNA from 1 species